GAUUUCACACCAACAGACCUAUUCCCCUCACGAAAGCGUCAUAGGUGACAACAAGGACUCUGGAAACAGGCAGACUGACUGUUCCAAUCCUGGCUCACCAAAUUCAGCUUCACCAUGCCUCUGUUUCUUUGUCUGUAAAAUGGGCAUAAUUGUAGGCCUGCUCACAGAGUUGUGUGAGGAUUCGAGAAACAGAGUGUGCAAAGGCUUGAGCUCAGCCCUGACACACGAAGAAAUGUUGUCGUGAUUGCUUAGAUGAAAUCGGAGUCAUCUAUUUUAAAAAACUGCAAGAAAUGAAUCAGCUGUUAAGUGGUCCAUUAUCACCUACUUGAUCAAUAAGGCUUUCUCAGUUCCCAUCAGUGAAGUUGAGAUAGUCUCAAAUUGUUUAUCGAAAUGAACUGCUAUUAACAAAGUAAAAUUUUUACUAGCACCUGGAUGAUGUUGUGUGUUACUCGGGCUGGGUGAUUUUAAGGUCUUGUCCAGCUCUAAUGUUUAAGGUUCAGUAUACCACCUGCAUAAUGGGGUGAUAAUAUGAAGUGCAAAAUGAGUUAACUAUAUUUUCAAAGUGCUGUUUUUUUUUAACAUAAGCUAUUUUUUCUGCUUUUUUUCUUACGAUUUUUCCUGAAAUAUGGUCUUCUAAAUUUCAGAUUCUUCUUUACUGCCAACCAGGUAAAGAUUUACACCAAUCAAGAGAAAACCAGGACCUUUAUUGGGCUUGAGGUCACUUCAGGGCAUGCCCAGUUCCUGGACCUGGUUUCAGAGGUGGACAGAGUCAUGGAGGAAUUCAACCUCACCACUUUCUACCAGGAUCCUUCUUUCCACCUCAGCCUGGCCUGGUGUGUGGGUGAUGCACGUCUCCAGCUGGAGGGGCAGUGCCUGCAGGAACUAC
rnacentral:lncRNA from 1 species